AUUGAACGCUGGCGGCAUGCCUAACACAUGCAAGUCGAACGAGUGGCGGACGUGUGAGUCGUUUCUUGGAAACUGCCUGAUGGAGGGGGAUUACUACUUGAAACAGUCUCUAAUACCGCAUACCAUCGGAUGUGCCCAGAUUGGAUUAGCUAGUAGGUGGGGUAAAGGCACACAUAGGGGACGAUCCCUAGCUGGUCUGAGAGGAUGACCAGCAAAACUGGAACUGAGACACGGUCCAGACGCCUACGGGAGGCAGCAGUGGGGAAUAUUGCACAAUGGGCGAAAGCCUGAUGUAGCAACGCCGCGUGUAUGAAGAAGGCCUUCGGGUUGUAAAGUACUUUCAGAGGGGAGGCGUUACCCGAAGAAGAAGCACCGGCUAACUCCGUGCCAGCAGCCGCGGUAAUAC
rnacentral:rRNA from 1 species